AUCCAGCUGACGAUUCUCAAAUAGGACGAAACGCGCGUCGUGGAU
rnacentral:hammerhead_ribozyme from 1 species